rnacentral:rRNA from 1 species
UACAGAGGGGGCAAGCGUUGUUCGGAAUUACUGGGCGUAAAGGGCGCGUAGGCGGCCUGCUAAGUCGAACGUGAAAUCCCUGGGCUCAACCCAGGAACUGCGUCCGAUACUGGUUGGCUUGAAUCCGGGAGAGGGACGUGGAAUUCCAGGUGUAGCGGUGAAAUGCGUAGAUAUCUGGAGGAACACCGGUGGCGAAGGCGACGUCCUGGACCGGCAUUGACGCUGAGGCGCGAAAGCCAGGGGAGCAAAGCGGG